rnacentral:misc_RNA from 1 species
AAUUCUCUAGGUUGCAAAUUGGGAGGAUUAGGAACAAGUAAGAGAGAUCCAUGCAGGAUGGACAAGAAAAAAAAGUUUUAUACCAAAAAUUGUAUUUCAUGGCAUUAGGGCAGUCUACUGGGGUAAGGCACUAUGCAGUACUAGGCAAUUAGAAUUCUAUUCACUAGCUAUGUGCACAAGCGGCUCCUGACCUGGUCAUUUUGGCUGUAAAACUAUUCAUGCCUGGACAGUUUUUGACGGUGCAGUCUUGCUAUAUGGUGUGAGAAAUGGCUGUAGGAAACAACACUCAACGAAGUUAUUCCAUCAUCCCGUGUUUUAUAUUUGUUGAGGAGGAAGCAACCCUCAAAGUGAGAUGUUUAAUUUAUUGCUGGAAGCUGUAGUCUCCGAAGAUUUUCAGCUCUCUAAUGUGUGAAUGAAGAGCUUGGCCGGUGGAGCAGCAACAAAGGAGAUAAAUUAGUUCUUCUGUAGCUUACCCUGACACAAACAUAAAUAGAAGUCUAAAAAUCUGGGAGAGGAAAGAUGGUUUAUUCUUUUUCUUGUUGUAUUGUUGUUCUUAUUUUGCAUGGAAAUUCUCUUAGAACUGUCUUAGAAAUAGGCAGGCAAAAGGGAAGGGAAGUAGGACACAGAAGACAUUGAGUGGGAAGGAGGUGAAUCUCAAAGUGGCUCUCAUGAUUCUCAUGUAUUUCAUUCACCAAACACUUAUUGUUUACCUAUAUUAUUCCAGGUACUAUAACAAGGAUAUCACAAAACUUGGUAAAAAAUGUCAACUUGACCAAUGAAUAUCUUUUCACUGUUUUUUUAAUUAUGAAAGAAUUUAAUCACAGAAAAUAACUGACAUCCCUGCACCUACCAUCAAGACAAAAUCUUAAAGUUUUGUCAUAUUUGCUUCAAAUAUUUUUGUCAAGGAAAAUAAAAUGUUACAGAUAUGGCCAAAAUCCUAUUGUCCUGAAGCCAGAAGUCAUUAUAUGUAUGAAGUUUGGGGCUUCUUUUCCCUACAUGUUUCCCAUGCAUGGUUUAUAUUUUCCUACAUAUGUAUAUAUUCAUAAAUAUUUUAGGAAAAUUUUACAUAAAUGACACUAUGCUGAA